rnacentral:lncRNA from 1 species
GGUUCACAGGGAAAGGCUAGUUCUCUUUUCUUGGGUGUGCAGGGUCAGAAGGAUGGAAGGCUGGAGUUGCUGUUUCUGCUGCUACUUGGGUAGAAUCUGCCGGGAAAUGAAGCCAGCACAGCGGAGUUGAGAGAUGGUGAGAGGUUCUUGGAGACGUUGUCUGCUCAUUUGAGUCCAGCCAUGUGGAACAUUCUGGACUUUUUAGUUAUAUGAACCACAACUUGCUCCCACCACCUUUUAAAAAACUUCAGCCAAUUAAGCUGAUCUCUGGCUCUUUGUCCUCUAGUGCCCCCUCCGUUAUCUGUGUGCGUGACUGUCAACUUCGCCUAAAACCUGGGGGGUUAGAUGGCAUCCCAUGGAGGCCCAGCCCAUCAUCGGCUCCUCUGUCUGGUGACAAGGACGCUCUCCCCAGUGGCCUCACCCAAUGUCCUAAUUCUCUUUAGGGAACAGC